CUCGAGGGUUUGCAGCCUGGCAAGGAUAACCUGGGCCACCACUUGACAAAUGCCUGGCUCAGCUAAUCCUUGUCACAAUCCUCAAGGGUCCAAAGGAGGGUUUAUUUUGCAGGGUGGACCCUUGGGAGUGCUACCAGGACACCUGGCAGACGACCUGCAGCGUGUUGGAACACCACCGGGACCUCAUGAAGAGGGUGACUGGCUGCAUCCUCUCCAAUGUCAACACACCUUCCAUGACACCUGUGAUCGGACAGCCACAAAACGAGACCCCCCAGCCCAUUUACCAGAACAGCAACGUGGCCACCAAGCCCACUGCAGCCAAGAUCUUGGGGAAGGUGGGAGAAAGCCUCAGCCGGAUCUGCUGUGUCCGCCCGCCGGUGGAGCGUUUCACCUUUGUAGAUGAGAAUGCCAAUCUGGGCACGGUGAUGCGGUAUGAAGAGAUUGGUGAGUGGGACUGCGAAAGUGCGGAAAAUGGGGACAUUUGGAGCCCCCUGCCUUCACAACAGGCAACAUGGGGAGCAGAGAGGCUUGAAAACCCAGGGACUGUUUUGCAGCAGGGUCUCCUCUCGGAAGAAGGAUCGUUCCCAGGCUAAGAUUGCAUUUGUAGUUAGCUCCCUUUAACAUCUCUUAACUGGACUCCAGCCAACUCCCAAGAGAUAGAACUGGAUCGUUUGGUGAUUUUUCCUUCAGAGCCUCCCCUCCCUCCUCUAAAAAACAUGAAAGUUGAGCUUUGGCACCAGCUGGAAAGACCCUUCUUUUGGGCACAGACACUGCACACAAAUGAGGCAGAAGAGCACCCCCGCCUUCCUCAUUCAGUGCUUGUAGAUGAAGAAACAGAGAGGGGACUGAAAGCCACCUCCACACCUCCCUUGCAGCCUUGGGCAGAGGCUAAGGCACUUCACUGUCUGUGUGAGGGCUGCCUGCCCAACCCAAUACCAGAGCAGGCCAGGGCGGGCCCGAGCCGGUGGAGGGCGGUUACACAGCUGUCAGGGUGGGAAGGAGUUGAUGACCCCUACAAGCAAAUUGAGAAGCAGAUAGGAACACUGAAAUCUUCCCAGGGUUUCAGAAUGGUGGGAGACGCAGGUGUCUGAAGCUGAGGAAAGGGCAAGGAGACACCAGAAUAGAGCUGGAGCUGGCACAGGUACCAGGGGACAAGAAGGGUCAGUGACAUCAGGAAUGCCUGGAGCUCUAGGGCAAGGCAGCCUGGUGUCCACACCCUCAAUCUUCAACUUCCAGCUGAAAAGAUCCUCCAAGCAUCCCUUCCUGGUACUUUUCUGUCCAAGGACUGGAAGUCACGGCUCCCACUGCAAUCCUGAGAGGCAGGGUUUGUCCUGAGCACUUGGUUCACACAGACCCGGCAGAUGUGAUGUCAUUUCAAGGGGCUUCUCUGGGUCUCAUCCUCUCAUCUGAGGUGCAGUGGUAUCCCUGAAUUGGCUCAGUUGGCUUCCUACAACCAUUUGUAAAGUUUUCAGGAAUUUUGUGAACCAGUUUUAAAUAGAGCCAUUACUAAAAAUUAAGUUAUAUUAACUUAAAAUUAAAUUUAAUUAAAAACAAAAGGAAUGAAUACUCAAAA
rnacentral:sRNA from 1 species